GCGAUAAGUAAUGUUAAUUGCAGAAUUCAGUGAAUCAUCGAAUCUUUGAACGCACCUUGCGCUCCUUGGUAUUCCUUGGAGCAUGCCUGUUUGAGUAUCAUGAAAUCUUCAAAGUAAAUCUUUUGUUAACUCAAUUGGUUUCUACUUUGGUAUUGGAGGUCUUUGCAGCUUCACACCUGCUCCUCUUUGUUCAUUAGCUGGAUCUCAGUGUUAUGCUUGGUUCCACUCGGCGUGAUAAGUUAUCUAUCGCUGAGGACACUGUAAAAGGUGGCCAAGGUAAAUGCAGAUGAACCGCUUCUAAUAGUCCAUUGACUUGGACAAUACUUUUAUGAUCUGAUCUCAAAUCAGGUAGGACUACCCGCUGAACUUAAGC
rnacentral:misc_RNA from 1 species